rnacentral:rRNA from 1 species
UCCUGCUGAAGGAAUCUUUUGCUUGUCCUAAAAGCACAGGUGAAUAAGGGGUGGGCAAGUCUGGUGUCAGCCGCCGCGGUAAUACCAGCACCUCGAGUGGUCAGGACGUUUAUUGGGCCUAAAGCAUCCGUAGCCGGCUUUGCAAGUCUCCGGUUAAAUCCACCUGCUCAACAGAUGGGCCGCUGGAGAUACUACAAAGCUAGGGAGUGGGAGAGGCGGACGGUAUUCAGUGGGUAGGGGUAAAAUCCUCUGAUCCAUCGAGGACCACCAGUGGCGAAGGCGGUCCGCCAGAACACGUUCGACGGUGAGGGAUGAAAGCUGGGGGAGCAAACCGGAUUAGAUACCCGCGUAGUCC